AUAUACUGUGUGUUAUUUUAAUGUAAUAGCAUGUGGAUUAUAUCGUUCUCGAAAUUAUUAAUUACUAAUAGAAUUGUUUCAUUGUUUGAUUAUAAGGUGGUUUGUGUUUACUGGUUUAAUUUAAUGUAUGCAUAGUGUAUUGUGUCACCAGUCACUAUUGUGUAAUAUAACCUUAUUUCUUUAUGCCAGAUUUAAUAUAAUAAUACUAUAGUAACUCAACACAAUAUAAUAAUUUCUAAUUUUAAUCAUGUUUGGUCAUCAAUAUUCAGCUAAUCUAUCUUGAUUAAUUUAUAGCUUAUUUCUAUAUUUAUUAGCUAUUUCUAUUUCUUUCCUAUUAAUCUGUCGUUACUUCGUACUUGCGAUUUAUUGUUAUUUCAUAUUUUUUCUCAAAUUCUAUUCCUUCGAUGAUGCAUUGCUUACUUGGAACAUUUAUAUACUUCUCCGAUCAUGUUCCUUCAACACUGCAUCACUUACAUGGAACAUUCCUGCAGUACGUACAGCAUCAUCCGGUUCUUCUUAUGUUCUAAAUACUUACUAUGGAUAUCUUUAUUCAUCCUAUAUUUCUGACAGACGCAUAUUAUGUUCUAUGGAGUGGAUCCAUAAUUUGUCUCUGUGGAAUUCCUGCAUGUAUACUUCCUUCUACGAUCAUUAAUCGUGCACUAGGUUUCCACUAUCUACACUAUUCGAUAAGCAGUGUCACACUUCCUUUGGCUUAACCACAAUAUUGUUAUAAACAUUUAGUAAUAUUAUAUUUUGUAUUAAGACAAUUGAGGUUAAUUCAUCCAUUUGUUUCAGCUGACUGUCAUACAUUAUGUUCUAUGAAUAUGAACCUAUAACCUGUCUUCGCACAUACACUUGCUUCUAUGAUGAGCAAUUGUUCGCAAGGUUUCUACUAUCUGCAGUAUUCGACAAGCAACAUUAUGCCAUACACCACUGUACUACAUUGCCUCUUGAAAUCAUUCUGGUGGUCUACUUC